UAAAACAGUUUGCAGAAUCUUUUCGAAGAUAUUUAUUGACUAUCACGUAUCACAUCAUAGCUAGAAGACUCGGCGUACGUUGCUAUCUAAUAAAAUAUGAAAAUAAUAUUGGAAUCAUGCGUGAACCAAAAUAUUAUACAAGUAUUUGGUAUGAUGCAGAAAUUUUUUAUCUAAAUCCCAACUCCAAUCUAUCUUACCCAUCGAACAUUAUCAGAGGAUCAUAUCAAAAUGUACUUUAUUCGGAGGAAACUGUGAAAUUAUUCAAUGAUAUUUCGGUGACAAUUUUUAUAAUGGAAGAUUACUGCACAAAACUAAAAUGUAUUAUACAUGAGUACGAUUUCAAUUUUAUUUCCUCUUUAUUAUACCAAUGUUUUGCAGAAUACGAGUACAUUGCAGAAUACAUGAAUAUUGAAAAUAUAUACGAAAUAAUUAUAACAAAUUCACUAAGGGUAAGUUAUAACACAUCUUAUAAUGUACUAUUUUAUAUAUUUAAUACAUCAAAAAAUUAUAUUAAUUAUAAUUACACUAGUUUACAAGGUAUUGUACGAAAGCAUUUGAACACUGUUUCUAGAGUAAUAUUCAA